rnacentral:rRNA from 1 species
CCUACGGGUGGCAGCAGUGGGGAAUAUUGGGCAAUGGGCGCAAGCCUGACCCAGCAACGCCGCGUGAAGGAAGAAGGCUUUCGGGUUGUAAACUUCUUUUGUCAGGGACGAAGCAAGUGACGGUACCUGACGAAUAAGCCACGGCUAACUACUGGCCAGCAGCCCGGGGCAUACGUGGGUGGCAAGCUUUAUCCGGAUUGACUGGGUGUAAAGGGCGUGUAGGCGGGACUGCAAGUCAGAUGGGAAAACCACGGGCUCAACCUGUGGCCUGCAUUUGAAACUGUAGUUCUUGAGUACUGGAGAGGCAAACGGAAUGCCUGGUGUAGCGGUGAAAUGCGUAGAUAUUAGGAGGAACACCAGUGGCGAAGGCGGUCUGCUGGACAGCAACUGACGCUGAGGCGCGAAAGCGUGGGGAGCAAACAGGAUUAGAUACCCCAGUAGUC